UAUGAUCUUGUAAUACCCUGGCUUUACUGUGAAAGAUGCCAAGAAACUUGGGUACCGGGUUUGAGAGAAGUUCAGGAUACUGGCUACUGGCCUGGCACAAUUAACUUCAGCACACUUUAUGAUAUUGAAGUAUUCCUGUCCUUUGAGGAUCUGAAAAUGGCUGCCCCCGGAUUGUCUCGUUUAGCAUUCAUUAGAAUGCUUGACAUGAAGACGGCACACUAUGGCAGGACUGGGAAUCUAUGUGGGGAUGCUUUUUACAAGAGCUUUCUUGAGUGGUCUAUCUGUCGAUAUGAAGUUGACAAGAUCUGUGGCACACAACAUUUCAUGUGUCCCGCUUGCACCCCUCUCAUUCUGGCAGUUGCAGUCGAUGGCAACCGCAAACUUCACCGCUUCAAAACGGGUGGAAAGUAAGUCCUUUAUUUAUUUGUUUACCUUACUUUUAGCAAAUAUAUAUAUUUGAUAAAUUUAUUGAUAUAUACUUGUGAAAAGUUCACCAGUUUAUCUUUAAAAGGGUUUUAAAGGGGUCGUAUGACAUGGCUAAAAGGAAUAUUGCCGUUUGUUUUAUAUGUAAUGCAAUGUGUAUACACAAUUUAAGGUUAAAAAACGCUGUAUUUUCCACAUACCGUGCAUGUUUGUAUCUCCUCUUUGCCCCGCCUCUCUGAAAUGCGCAGAUUAUUUACAAAGCUCAUGGCUCUGAAAAGCGAGGUGGGCUAUGAUUGGCCAGUUAACCAGUGCGUUGGUCGAAUACUGCAAGAGUGUGACAGAAAUGUGACGCCUCUUACCAUAUUUGGAACAUCAGGUUCCAAAGCAAUUGUACUGACAGGCACCUGGCAAAGGUGUCUGUGGAUCUGCAGAGUUUGCAGCUGCUCAAGAGUCUUCGAGAAAGAGCAGCAGUGGAUUAGAUGAGGAGGGAAUUGAGCUGGCUGUCUGCAGGCAAAAGGUUCUUUUGAGAGCACUCAAUAUGUUCAGAGAGAGAUAUAUGCAUAUCCAUUGUAUCUGCAUAAGGAGCUUUGCACUGAAAAUGUCAAAUUUCUGUGCUGACAUAACGUGUAAAUACUGGCCCUACUUGAUCAAAGUGUGCAGUGUCUGCCCUGAACUAAGGAACCUUCUCGACCAAAAGCCAUUCCUCUCAGUCAUGCAUGCUAAAUACAUGGAAUAAAAUGUGAGAUCAAAUGGAGUGGUAGCUAUCAAACUGGUGCUGCCUAUACCAUGGGAGAGGAAGUGGAGCAGGCCAAUGGCUUUUUGUCAAGGAUUGCUAUAAGCACCAAGUUCAUGUCUAAAGCAGUGUGCUGUUCAGCAUACUACUAAUUACUGUAGUUUGCAUUUGAAUAUUAUUACUGCAACUUCUCGGGACAACGAUGUUCCUGUCGAUCCAUUAAUGAACACGACUGAAGAGAUGGCUGUGAGCAUCAAACAACGACGUCAUCAUCUUUACAGACACACCGAGUUUUAAUAAGCGUUUGGUAAAAUGUGAAAAAAUAUGAAUGACCACAAACAAAGGGAGAAAAAAGAUAAGAAAAAUCUAUAUGGAGAAACAAAAGCUGGCUGCUGCAAUUGAACAACGUAAUGCUCUUGUUGACCCUUAGUUAAAGAUUGUGUCCAUAGACGAUGUUCUCGAAAAGGAUUAUGUUUUUCCAUGGCAGUUAUCAAGGCAAGAAGGUGUCCAUCUCUUAACAAAGAAGAAGGUGUUUGACAAGGUCAUGCUAAUUCAGCGACUGGAGGAGGAACAGGUCAUUCUUGUCCAAGAGGCAAAACAACACUGGUCAGCAGCACAAGAUGACCAAUUUGCUUGACACAAUCAAUGCUGGUGGAAACCUUUGGAAUCUUCCAGAACAGGGGAUUCAAGGGCUUCACUCAUAUGUUGCAGAGAAGACUAGACCAGCUUAUAGCUCACCAGGACACUGUAAAAAAGAGCUAUCAAAUGAUAGACAACAUGACACCUUGCAGUACUGUGGAAGAUGAAUACUUUAGCUGUCCAGAAGACCUUCUUUCCAGCAGUACUGAUCAGAGCUCCGAUGAAGAUGAUACAUCUGUUUAUUAGCAAUGUGUGUUUACAUUGUGCAUUGUUACAUUGUGUGUGUGUGUGUGUUCGUGU